GAGACAAAAAAAAAAAAAAACCAGAAAGAAAAGAAAAGAAAAAAAAAAAACUCCUCUGGUCGGCUCUGCAACUGGGCAUGCUCAGUGCGGCCGGCACUUCCGCGUGCGGGUUCCACUCGCCGCGUUUUGCGAGCGGCCGCUGGGGCAGGCCUGGCGUGGAGCUUGGUAGUUGCAGCCUGCCUGAGGCCGUGAUUCCCCCCAACGGACUGUCUGGGGCCGGGACGUCGCUGUCCAAUUUGUGAGGAAGGCCCAGGAGACUUUGCCUCUUCACCGAAACCUGGUUAUUUCUUGUUUUGGGUCACUUUUCUGAGUUGUACAGCUUGGAAACGAAUGGGGCCGUUUUUUCUAGAACGGAAAGUAACGCUCGAAUUUCAAGCGCCAAGAGGCGACCACUUCAGAGACUCGGAUAUGCUAGAGUGGAGAGAACAUCAGAAGACAUGAUUUCUAGGACUCAAUCAGCAAACCAGAGUUCUCGGUUCACUGCUAUUUCAUCUUCAAAAUCAAGAGUCCCAGAGAAGUCAGGAUCUGAGCCCCGGGCACUGAGAACACAGGUUGUGCUGACCCCGGGCUAGCAGGCCACAGUAAUCACUGUGUGGAUCAGAGACAAAUGGAUAUGCGAAGCAGAAAUACAGUUAUGUGCAUGUCAUUAUUUCUGUGAUUGAAUUGGUUUAACUUGGGCAUUUUAUCACAUCUGUCAUUUGUUUCAACAGCCUCUCAAUAAACAAUAAAAAGACCCUGGAUUUCAAUUAACAAGAGAAAUUCUUGGAUGGCAAAAAGAAUUAAAAGAGAAAUGAGGGAAACAGUGCAGGAUAAGUCUAGAAUAUUUGGAAGGAAGGCAGGAAGGCAAGCAAGCAACCAGUGACUCCCCAAAUUCAGCUUUGUGUUUAUUAUAUUUUCCCCAGCUUUUCUGGUCCUCCAAUUUCCUAGCUAGUACUGUGAUAGAUAGUUUUCAGAUUCUGACCAGGCUGACUUUGUGAUUUCCCUCCAUUUUUUCCUCUUCCCACUCCCCUUUUAUGGAUUAACAACCCUCAGAGAGCCUUGACAGAGA
rnacentral:lncRNA from 1 species